rnacentral:tRNA from 2 species
GGACUGGUAGCUUAGUAUGGAUGAGCGGCGGGCUUUUAACCCGAAGGUCGGGGGUUCGAAUCCCCUCCAGUCCG